UCUGGUUUUUAGUUAGUUUAAAGCUAAUGAUGGUUAAGAUGUGUGCUUUACAUCCAAUUUGCUCAUGACUCGAUUAGUCGGCUAUUAAAAUAGUCGUUUGUGGCAGUACCACUCACAAUAUAGUGAGCUGUUGGAAUCAACAAUUCCAAAAUCGAGUGCACUAGAAAUUUCCCAGAAGUCUUUGCGAAAAACUAGAGUGCAUCGAUGCUCACUACAUUACCGAAUAUAGACCACAAUGCAUUGCAGUCAAACAUAUUUGCGAAAAAAAAACAAAACACGUAAUUAAAUGUGAUUUUUAAAAAUAACCAUCCACAUUUUUGUCAUCAGAACACAAAUAAACGCAGUGAAACGUUCGUCUUGAUUAGAUUUUCGUGGAAUCUGUGACGUCAUAUCAACAAAGUAAAGGAGUGAGCAUUUGUUUUUAAAAUCCAGGGCACUACAUCAUCCAACACCGUAUAUAUUUUUUAGUAGUUUGGGAUUAGAUGGGGAAUUCGGACAGUUCUCAUCUAUUAUGUAAGAGAUAAAACUUAACGAGGUGUUCGUUAUUAUAAAUUAAUGGAGGGCUGAUCACAUGGGAUGAUAAAUUGUAGAGUGAGGUUUGUGAACAUGUUUUAUUUUAUUAAUAAUAAGUAUUUAUCCAAUAUUUCCCUACUGUUUUUAAGUGUUAAAUUUGAGUUCUGGAUCAGAUUUUAGUUUUCUUUUUCCUUUUUAUUGUUCAAAACUAAAGAAAAUGCUCCAUGUUGGUGUAAAGGUUGAAAGUUUUGGGGAAAAAAAAAACACAAAAAGCCAAUUUUUUUGUUGUAAUUUGACUUAAUGUCUCAAAAUCCAGGUUUUGACAGCAAAUAUUAGAUUAAAAAAAUAGCGAUUAAAAUUAAUUAAUUACAUAUCACGAUUAAUUAAUCGCACGAAAAGUUAAUUGCAUUAAAGCUCUCAUUUUUACAUCAACAGCUUGUUGAAUUGGACCCGUGUGUUUGUAGUUGUCAUGGUGACGGCGCCACAAACACAAAAAUGUUGUGCGUUGUUUUUUUUUAAUUAAAAAGAAAAAAAAAUGCAAUUAGAAGCUACGUCUUUAAUUAGGAGUCUGAUGUGAACCGCUUAGUGUAGUUGAACAGACGUGCUCUUCGAUUGGCUGCUCUGCGUGUCAAUCAAAUAAGACGAGGAUGCCAAUUGGCCGACAGGAAUGUUUUUAAAAUAUAUCUUUAAUCCUUCCCCAUUUUCGACUAAAUAAUUGUACAAAUGAGAUCCAUUCGAGGUAAUUCCUAAAAUCGCGAUAAACAAGCAGCUUUUAAGCCCCUCCCCCCUCUCACCUGUCGUUUCAACACCAAAUGCUUCCCCUUCCAGUACUUCAGCAUCUGCAGAGACUGCAGCGUGCUCACUAUGUCCACAGGAUUGACGGCCGUUUCCUGACUGAUCUCUGUAAGCAAACAGUGAAGCUGUAAAUACGUCUUAAAUAAAUAAAAGAUACUCAUGCACUGUCA